CUGGAAGCUGGCGCCUGGGGGUCUACCCUAGGACCAGCCUUUUGGGAAGUGCAUCUGUGUCACUGAAUCAAAGGGAAAUUAUGUUGCUUUUCAAAUCUAUUUUUCUUGUUCCAUUUUUCCAUUCAGGAACCCAGGAAUCAGCAUAAGGAAUAAUCCCUACUUCUGACCCCUCUGAAGAUGUGAAAGAUUCUGAACCCAGUGGGACCAGCAUGUUUCUGCUAAACAGGCAGUUGGCUGCAGGAAGUAACUACAGGGAGUCUGCACCUCCAUUAUACUACUGAUCUUCCAAGACCUAUUGCAAAGGCAUUUUAAGAUAUAUAGACGCACAUGGUGACUGCCCUGAAGAGAUUACAGUCUAAAUUCAGCCAUGAUAUAAGGAAUGGAAGUAACAGAUAGCAAGGUGGCAGGAUUCCACCAUCACCUACUAUCGAUGAAGUUACUUGCAAAGAAAGAGUUGCAUGCAAACAGGUUUUGAUUUUUUUAAACAAAAAACACUGUUAGAGUAUUGUGAAAUAUUUAAAAAUAAACGUUAAGAGACAAUGAUACUUACAAGUGAUAAGAGAAAAAUACGUUCAAUAAACUGCAGCUUGACUAUUGAAUAAGAUAAAUUUUAUGGCUGGAAGUAAUUCAGAGAAAACAGAAUGAAAGAUGUUAUUUUCCUAGCAAAAGAACGGACACAAGCCCUUGGUUUUAAACAAGUAAAAUCCUUUUCUCCCAUAUCUAAUAUUUCUGCUAAUUGGAAAAACUAACUAACCCAAUUAGUUUAAUGCAACUGUAAUUAGUAUGUAUAUUACCAGCUAAAAGAAGUACAAGAUUAAAGAACUAGCUUAAUAAUGCCCCAAAAUCAAAUUCCUAAAAAUUUAGCAACCUACCUAGUACUGAGUACUAUGAGAUAAUGACUAUACCCCUUUUUUUCUUGUUUCCUUUUUUUAUUUUAUUGGUAUAAAAUACAAGUUAAUCUCUGGACUUCAAGUUAAUCUGACAGGAUUUAUUAUAUUCACUAGUCCAAAAUCUGCUCUCGCAGUAUUGAAUUUGUGCUUAUACCAUAGUUGGGGACAGAAUGGCCCCUUGUCUAAGAUGACAUAAUGUGGCAACAUGGCUAUCAUUCUACAAUUCCUAAUAACCAUGAAAAACGAUAGUCUGUAAUAAAAUGAAUAUUUAUUUUAUAUCAAACUACUUAAAAAAAAUUGUUCCAAAAUGUCAUGGUUUGAGACCGUUCCAAGUUGUUUUAGACUUUUUGUUGUGUACUUUCACUUCAUAUAUAAAUAUAAACUGUGAUAUGCUCAACAAUUUUCAGGUUAUAAUCCAUGAAAUACGUAUCAGGGCAUGUUUGGCAACUAUUAAAGCUAUUUCCAGA